rnacentral:rRNA from 1 species
UACGGGGGGGGGCAAGCGUUGUUCGGAAUUACUGGGCGUAAAGGGCUCGUAGGCGGCCAACUAAGUCGGACGUGAAAUCCCCAGGCUCAACCUGGGAACUGCGUCUGAUACUGGAUGGCUUGGAUCCGGAAGAGGGAUGCGGAAUUCCGAGGUGUAGCGGUGAAAUGCGUAGAUAUCUGGAGGAACACCGGUGGCGAAGGCGGCAUCCUGGACCGGCAUUGACGCUGAGGCGCGAAAGCCAGGGGAGCAAACGGG